rnacentral:rRNA from 1 species
UACGUAGGGUGCAAGCGUUAAUCGGAAUCACUGGGCGUAAAGCGCACGUAGGCGGAUUGCUAAGUCAGGGGUGAAAUCCUGGAGCUCAACUCCAGAACUGCCCUUGAUACUGGCGGUCUCGAGUCCGGGAGAGGUGAGUGGAACUGCGAGUGUAGAGGUGAAAUUCGUAGAUAUUCGCAAGAACACCAGUGGCGAAGGCGGCUCACUGGCCCGGUACUGACGCUGAGGUGCGAAAGCGUGGGGAGCAAACAGG